AUUGAACGCUGGCGGAAUGCUUUACACAUGCAAGUCGAACGGCAGCACGGGGGCAACCCUGGUGGCGAGUGGCGAACGGGUGAGUAACACAUCGGAACGUGCCCAGUCGUGGGGGAUAACGUAGCGAAAGCUACGCUAAUACCGCAUACGAACUCUGGUUGAAAGCGGGGGACUCGCAAGGGCCUCGCGCGAUUGGAGCGGCCGAUGGCAGAUUAGGUAGUUGGUGGGGUAAAGGCCUACCAAGCCGACGAUCUGUAGCUGGUCUGAGAGGACGACCAGCCACACUGGGACUGAGACACGGCCCAGACUCCUACGGGAGGCAGCAGUGGGGAAUUUUGGACAAUGGGCGCAAGCCUGAUCCAGCCAUUCCGCGUGCAGGAUGAAGGCCCUCGGGUUGUAAACUGCUUUGUACGACGAAAAGCCUCUUCUAUACAGGGGGCUCAUGACGGUACCGUAAGAAUAAGCACCGGCUAACUACGUGCCAGCAGCCGCUGUAAC
rnacentral:rRNA from 1 species